AAAACAUAGCUAUAUGAUAUAAUAUAUAGUGGUUCUGCUCAAUGGUAAUCUAAAUAGCCGCAGUACACUGACUGUGCAAAGGUAGCAUAAUCAGUUGGCUUUUAAUUGGGGUCUGGGAUGAAUGAAAGUAUGGGUAGCUACUGUCUAACUAGUAUAUUAUAACAAAUUUAGUUAGCAAGUGCAAAGACUUGCAGAUAUAAAAAAGACGAGAAGACCCUAGAAACUUGUAAAAUUAUUUUGUUGGGGCGACAGAAUUACAUGGAACUAAUUUUAAAAAACAUGACGUUUAUUCAGAACGAAUAAGUUACUCUAGGGAUAACAGCAUAAUUUUUAUAGUUUGUGACCUCGAUGUUGGACUAGGUAUAUAAUUUUUUAGAAGAAAAUUUUCAAGCUCUGUUCGAGCAAAAGAACCUACAUGAUCA
rnacentral:rRNA from 1 species